CAGUGUGAUUCGUCACACUAUCAUUAACUGAAUCCAUAGGUUAAUGAGGCGAACCGGGGGAACUGAAACAUCUAAGUACCCCGAGGAAAAGAAAUCAACCGAGAUUCCCCCAGUAGCGGCGAGCGAACGGGGAGGAGCCCAGAGCCUGAAUCAGCAUGUGUGUUAGUGGAAGCGUCUGGAAAGGCGCGCGAUACAGGGUGACAGCCCCGUACACAAAAGCGCAUGUGCUGUGAGCUCGAUGAGUAGGGCGGGACACGUGGUAUCCUGUCUGAAUAUGGGGGGACCAUCCUCCAAGGCUAAAUACUCCUGACUGACCGAUAGUGAACCAGUACCGUGAGGGAAAGGCGAAAAGAACCCCGGCGAGGGGAGUGAAAAAGAACCUGAAACCGUGUACGUACAAGCAGUGGGAGCACCCUUUGGGUGUGACUGCGUACCUUUUGUAUAAUGGGUCAGCGACUUAUAUUCUGUAGCAAGGUUAACCGAAUAGGGGAGCCGGAGGGAAACCGAGUCUUAACCGGGCGUUAAGUUGCAGGGUAUAGACCCGAAACCCGGUGAUCUAGCCAUGGGCAGGUUGAAGGUUGGGUAACACUAACUGGAGGACCGAACCGACUAAUGUUGAAAAAUUAGCGGAUGACCUGUGGCUGGGGGUGAAAGGCCAAUCAAACCGGGAGAUAGCUGGUUCUCCCCGAAAGCUAUUUAGGUAGCGCCUCGUGAAUUCAUCUCCGGGGGUAGAGCACUGUUUCGGCUAGGGGGCCAUCCCGGCUUACCAACCCGAUGCAAACUGCGAAUACCGGAGAAUGUUAUCACGGGAGACACACGGCGGGUGCUAACGUCCGUCGUGAAGAGGGAAACAACCCAGACCGCCAGCUAAGGUCCCAAAGUCAUGGUUAAGUGGGAAACGAUGUGGGAAGGCCCAGACAGCCAGGAUGUUGGCUUAGAAGCAGCCAUCAUUUAAAGAAAGCGUAAUAGCUCACUGGUCGAGUCGGCCUGCGCGGAAGAUGUAACGGGGCUAAACCAUGCACCGAAGCUGCGGCAGCGACACUGUGUGUUGUUGGGUAGGGGAGCGUUCUGUAAGCCUGUGAAGGUGUGUCGUGAGGCAUGCUGGAGGUAUCAGAAGUGCGAAUGCUGACAUAAGUAACGAUAAAGCGGGUGAAAAGCCCGCUCGCCGGAAGACCAAGGGUUCCUGUCCAACGUUAAUCGGGGCAGGGUGAGUCGACCCCUAAGGCGAGGCCGAAAGGCGUAGUCGAUGGGAAACGGGUUAAUAUUCCCGUACUUGGUGUUACUGCGAAGGGGGGACGGAGAAGGCUAUGUUGGCCGGGCGACGGUUGUCCCGGUUUAAGCGUGUAGGUGUGUGUUCCAGGUAAAUCCGGUUCACUUUAACACUGAGGCGUGACGACGAGGCACUACGGUGCUGAAGCAACAAAUGCCCUGCUUCCAGGAAAAGCCUCUAAGCAUCAGGUAACAUCAAAUCGUACCCCAAACCGACACAGGUGGUCAGGUAGAGAAUACCAAGGCGCUUGAGAGAACUCGGGUGAAG
rnacentral:rRNA from 1 species